GCGCCUGUAGCUCAGUUGGAUAGAGUAGCAGACUACGAAUCUGCGGGUCAGAGGUUCGAAUCCUCUCAGGCGCACCA
rnacentral:tRNA from 1 species